GGCCUUGAUCUUUCUUUUUAACUGCCCAGAGAAUUGAUAGUUUCUCAUGAAGUUUUUAUUGGGGUUAAAUGUAAAAUGUUGAAGGAGAUACCGUGUUGGAGUUUCCGGUUUCUUGUCAAUCAAUCAACGACGCGUCAAUCCCUAAUUAGUUAGGAUUGGAUAGUUUAAUUGCUGUAUUUGUUGCUGUUAUUGCUAAUUUGUGACUUUUCAUGCUUUAUUGUCAUUGUUUUUUGUGAUUAUUAGGUUUUGGGUUGCAGAGUAAUUCAUUCAUGGGUUUCUAAUUCUCUUAGUGGUAUUGUGCAACAAAUUCAUCAUCAAAGCACUGCUGUAGCAGAGGUUGCCAGCCUACUUCAUGAUGAUGUACUGGAUGAUGCUGACACAAGACGUGGGAUAGGUCCUUUAAACUUUGAGAUGUGAAAUAAGCAGUCUGGUCCAUACCAUUUGGGCGUAUUGGCAUUACCAAAAUAGAUGAUCCCUGAGCUCUCUUCCAAUUUGGCACAUGACACAAUCAACAUUGACAUUCAUUCCUCCUUUGAU